rnacentral:lncRNA from 7 species
GUAAUGUAAAAGCUUAUACCCACUGCAUAUAAAUCUUUCAAAUUAAUACAAGCAUUAAAUUGCCAAAGUUUUUUCCAUAUACUGCAAAUAUUAAACAUGACAUGCCUGCUAGGGUUGGUAUAAAGUUUUGUCAACAUUUUUGGCAUACAGUUUCUCAGCCUGGGGUCAAUAUUUUCUUGACCAAAUUUUGUUGUUUCAGUUGUCUUUUACCUCAUAUAUUGUAACGCAAACAUUUCCCAGAAAAAAGAAAUUUGGCAGGCUAUUAGUCCAUAAUGUGGUCUAAUGCCUUUGGGUAUUUUUUUAAACGUAAAUCAUUGAGAUAUUUAAGGUUUGAGGUUUAAGAACUGUACACAAACUUUAACAACUUCUUUUAAAAAUAUUUAGUAUGCAUAUUUACUACAUAUGUAUCUCAUAGAGACUAGAGAUUAAACUGGAGAUUACUUGCUAAAAUAUGCAAACUGCUGUCCAUGAAUAAACAUCCUCAUGAACUCCUAUUGAAAGUUUCUUAUUUAAAAAAUGUUGUUUAAAACUACAAUGAAAGCAAAGGGAAGUAAGAUGGGAAGAGGAAAAAAGCAAUGUUUAAGUAAUUUUAAUGAUUUAACUUGGCUACAGAAAGUAAAGAAGUUCAUUUUCUUUCUCCUGGGAUCUCAUCCAAAGCCCACUAUGGUCAAAAGAAGGCUUUCCACCUAUUCUCAUUUGUGCUACACUCAGACAGUGCUCUGUUGCUCAAGUAUUGAGCUAUGCUGAUGUCAUGUAGCAGAAGAUCCCGCAGCACAGCAGCCCACCUAUCUGCCAUGUGUAUUACAUAGGUUUCAAGAUAGACAGGAUCCAGAGAACUGAGAUCUCUCACAAGCAUUUAAAACCUACCGCUUGUAUUCCUUCAACAUUUGUCAGAUCUCCCACUGGUGAUCAAAGAAUGCCAAACUGAAAGCAGACCUAUAUUUGUGAUUGUUUGCUACCCUCUGCGAUAAGUUUAUCCAUCAUUUUCUUUCCUGUUGACUUUCAUGUGCGCUAUCACCCCAGGAUGUUAUAUUUGCUCAAACAGAAAAUGGAAUUACAAGCAGAAGAAGCCGCUGCAUGGAAGGUCUGCUGCUGUGCUGCCCGCUGGAGACUUGCCUUGCGGUGAGGGCUACAGACACAAAAACAGCUUGGCACUGGGAGCUCCAUCUUGCUGUGGCAUAAGCUGGCUUCCUGCUGACUCCAGAUCUGCCUUCACACAGGUUGCUCUAGAUUGAGAUGAUAGAGUGGAGGCAAGUACUGUGCACUGGACUAGAGAAGUGUGUCAGCCAUAAAGGACAGCACACAGCAGCUAUGCUUUGUCUGGCACAGCAUUUUGUAGGGUUAAAAGGGAGUGACUGGAGUGUAGGGCCAUGCCAGCCAGUUUAGUCUCACCCAAGAGGUCCCAGAUUUGGUUCAAUGUGGUGAUGAAACUGCUGAGACUUUAUAAACCCAGACUUACUUAAGGAGGGAUUGACAGAGCAAACUAUGACUAGGUUUUGUCACAGCAACCUAUAUGUCCAGAAUGGAAGUGCUAAGCCAACACUAGGAGGAGCAUAGAGCUGUGGACCCCUGUUUGCCUUUCAACUACAACUUUCUUGCAUUGCAGUUUCUUCUACACAUCUCCGGUUUCACAUGAUAUAAUAUUUGGCCCAGUAAAUGCAAGGCUUGGGUUUGGUCUCUAGUCAGAUGGUACCCAAAAAUAAGCAUCAAAAUAUCCACCGCUUAUUAAAAAGUCAAGAAGAAGAAAGAACAGACACAAAAUACAGUUUAGUCACCAUAAAGAAACCACCACCAAAAAGGCUGGGUAGGUAUCAGAUCAUCUUUUUGCAGAACAUUUCUUCUGAGAUAUAUGAAGGUGGGAAGACAGCCACUGGUAGAAUUUCCCCUAUUGCAAUGCCUCUUUAUUAUUUCAUUAAAAUCCUUGUAAUACACAAAACAAUAAAAGAAAGCAACUUGAAAGUUC